rnacentral:rRNA from 1 species
GAUGAACGCUGGCGGCGUGCCUAAUACAUGCAAGUCGAGCGAACAGACGAGGAGCUUGCUCCUUCGACGUUAGCGGCGGACGGGUGAGUAACACGUAGGUAACCUACCUAUAAGACUGGGAUAACUUCGGGAAACCGGAGCUAAUACCGGAUAAUAUUUCGAACCGCAUGGUUCGAUAGUGAAAGAUGGCUUUGCUAUCACUUAUAGAUGGACCUGCGCCGUAUUAGCUAGUUGGUAAGGUAACGGCUUACCAAGGCAACGAUACGUAGCCGACCUGAGAGGGUGAUCGGCCACACUGGAACUGAGAAACGGUCCAGACUCCUACGGGAGGCAGCAGUAGGGAAUCUUCCGCAAUGGGCGAAAGCCUGACGGAGCAACGCCGCGUGAGUGAUGAAGGUCUUCGGAUCGUAAAACUCUGUUAUUAGGGAAGAACAAACGUGUAAGUAACUGUGCACGUCUUGACGGUACCUAAUCAGAAAGCCACGGCUAACUACGUG